CCCCUUAUAAGGACAAAACACCACCCUGAACCAAGAGCCCUGCCCUCAUCUCCUUAUAAGGGAACAAGCCAAGCUGAACCAAGGGCCCCACCCUGAUCUUAUCAUAAGGACACAAACCACACUGAACCAAGGGCCAGCAGAAAUAUCAAAGUCCUGCACAUGUCAAAACUUCUCUGAUGCCCAGAGCCUAAUAUAGAACUUAACCCCUUGGAGAUUUCCGUUUAUGUUGAUUCAUUGUCCAACUGGGUGGACAAACAGACAGAUGGACAGAUAAAGAGGUAGGAAGCAAAAAUGCCAGAUAUCCAGCUCAAUAUUGGACCCAGAAAGCACAGGGCCUGAUGACUUAGGUGACUGGUUGCAAUACACACAAAAAGAAGCAGACCUGCUUCUACUACAAAGCCUGGCAUGAUGCCUCUUAGCCAGUGUUGCCUGAUCCUUGAAGGCUUUAGCUCCUUGGUUUUCACCAACUCACCCUUGGAUCCCUUCCAGUCUGGGACAGUGCUUUUCAAGAUAGCUGCUACUGGGUCAACUGAUCAGAAUCUCCAGUGCUUUGUCCACAGGACUCUAAGUGGUCCUUCCAUCUGGUCUCAGCCAUUGUUUUCCACCAAUGUCUCAGCAUCCUUCAAGGUCCAGCACGCGCUACUUCUGCACCAGACACCAUGCUCAUCACAGGGAUUCCUGUGAUGUCAGCUGUAACUAGGCGGAUUUCGAAGUGUAGGUAGAGAGGUGAGUGCAACAUCUGGAGCCUCUUAACAGUGAGGAAAUCAUGUUUCUGUCCAAAAUAUGAAGGAUAGUAGAGCUAAAGACAAUUAGAUGCAGGGAGGAUUCUCUGAUCUCCUUUUGCCUGUAAG